rnacentral:ncRNA from 1 species
CGGCGAUAAGUCGGAGGAAGGUGGGGACGACGUCAAAUCAUCAUGCCCCUUAUGUUCCGGGCUACACACGUACUACAAUGGCUGAAAACAGAGGGAAGCGAAGUCGUGAGGCCGAGCAAAUCCCGAAAAACAGUCUCAGUUCAGAUUGCAGGCUGAAACUCGCCUGCAUAAAGAUGGAAUUGCUAGUAAUCGCAAAUCAGAAUGUUGCGGUGAAUACGUUCCCGGGCCUUGUACACACCGCCCGUCACACCAUGAGAGUCGGUAACACCCGAAGCCUGUGAGCUAACCGUAAGGAGGCAGCAGUCGAAGGUGGGAUUGAUAAUUAGGGUGAAGUCGUAACGAGCGGCUGGAUCACCUCCUUU